rnacentral:lncRNA from 1 species
AAGAAAUCUAUGUCACGUAGCCUCGCUCUCCAAUUCAACCUUGAGUUCUUGCGCUCAUUCGUGCUCCUUGAAAUUUGAUGAAGAACCCUAGCUUGGAUUUUUGUUAGGUAAGAUGUUAAUCUCUAGGUUGUUCAUCACUAAUUAUGUGUCUCACAUCAUGUAUUUAGAGGUUACAAGGUAAAUCCCUAGCUUAUGAGGAAAAAUAAUCCAAUUGGAAAUCAAAAAGUAUCACAAUUAGCCCAAAUUCUUGCUCCCACUGAAACCAUGAGUUGUUUCUCUUCAAAUCAUGUGCUGCUGCGCAUGGUAUGCAAAAUGUCCAGCCUUCAAGAGCUCCUGCGGAUGGAAUGGUGCGCUGACGCGCAUGGCAAUUUCCUAAUCCUCUGUUGGUAAAAAUGCCAUAAUUUUUAAUUUGGGAGGAGUUACAGGACGUGCCACCUAUCAAAUCGAAGAUCUCGACGACCUCUACAAUAAAAUACAAGUUUCAACCCAAGAACAUGUAUCAAACUUAGCAUUAAAAGUCCUUUCAUCUUCCCUUCUUGUAUUUGAUUGCAUAUUUUACUCUGAAAAAUGUCUGAAUUGUCUUUCCAUGAUUCUUCUCAUCAAAUAACUCAAUAAGUGAUCAUUGGCUUGUUGUGGCUUUUGCUAAACCAUUAGUAACCCAUUUCAACUCAUUUUUCUUGUCUUCCCAUGUCAUGCUUACUUCAUGUGUGCCAAUUUACCCCACAAUUCUGCCUUGCGCACACGUAGGUCUCUUUUUGCUACAUUUUGAC